rnacentral:tRNA from 1 species
ACCUUCUCUUCUAAUUGGUUAAGAAAUUCCGCUCAUAACGGGGGUAAUGCUGGUUCAAAUCCGGCGGGGGGUA